UUCACACUGCCUGUGGUCUCUAGGAUGACUUCUGUCUGGAUGCUGGCUGCUCCGUGAGCUGUUGGCGGAGCUCCAGUGAGCCCUGUAGUCUCUGCCGGACUUGAUACCAAUAAAAGCAUUUCCCUUGGGGCAUAACCACCCCCAGCGCCCACCCUACUCCCAUUCCCACCCUCUGCAUCUGCUUCCUUCUGAUCCAGCUUGCCUUUGUUCCUGCUGUUGAAGCUGGUCGGGAGUUCACGCCACACAUUUUCACGGUGAAGACAACUUCUUUUUCAAAGAGUCCCUGGGCAUUCAAAUAUUUCUAAAAUGAAGCAAACACUAGAGGAAGACAUGGAGAGGGUGUGAGUCUGUCGCAGCAGAGGUCCCCCGAGGCUAUGGAGAGAAGAAUCAAAAGAUGAUUGGAGAUUCACCUACCAACGUAGCUGCUGCUUGUGUGUCUUCUUUCUACGCCACGCUGCUCAUAAAGCUUAUUAAUAACACCGAAGCACACCUUCCUUCUAAGUAAUUUUUCUCCCGGUGACUUUUGUGCACCAGCCUAGGAAAGAAAACAUCUUUAUUGAGGCGAAUGCAUGCUUGCCAAAGUUACCAAAACAAACCCCGUGACUGUGGCAACCCUUGGAACUGGGCUGGGAAACCUGGA